AUUUCACAGUACUUCUUAGGCUUGCCCACAGUCAUAUUUAAAAAUGUAUUUGUGACUCUUUAUUCUAACAGACUUAACAAACCAAGGGCUCAGAUCAGAAAACUGCUACUAAAAUCAAACUUCUAAAAUAAUUUCUACCUUCUGGGCUGCUGAGGGAAGGCAAUUUGCAAACAUUUUGUCAGUAGGGAGAGCUUUUUAAAUCCUUACAUUUCAUGUGUAUUUCAAAGAGAAUCUUAGUUUGAAUCCUAUACUUACUAUUUUCAAAGUGAAGAACACUAAUCUAUCUUUUGAAUUAUUUAUCAUAAACUUAAUUUUUAUUUUCCAUUACAAAGUAUUUAUUCACAGAACAUAAUAUAUAAUAAAACAUGCAUAAUGAAUAGGUAUACAUAUUCUGCCUCAGAUGAUACAAACACUCACUGAAGUAUGUUUUUCAAGGAUCCUUUCCUAUCAAAGACCUCCAUUUGUUACACACAGAUCUUUAAGAUGUGUGGUGAUCAACCAGUUAUCUUUAUCAAAAUGAAAAGGAAUAUCUUUAAGUAUUUUCAUUUAUUUGACAAGCGAGAUAGAUAUGCUCUUGAAUAUAUGAUUUGAAGCUUCCAUUUGUUUUUAUUUCAGAACUCUCUUUGGGAUUAAUUAAGAACCUGUAGAGAACAUUCUCUCUGGAUAUCAAUUGCAGCAAUUCUAAUGGGGAGCACUUACUUUCUAUACAUUAGGUUAUGCUCUUCAGUUGACAUCUGAGCCUUUACUCUUAUUUCCUGACUUCUGAAAUGAAGAAAAAUCCUGGGGUUAUAGAAACUCUCCCAAGGAAGAUAUGCUUGCCUCUGCUAUCAUUUACCUUCUUGUAACUGGGAGCAAGACAGUACAGAGAGGGGAUCCUGCCUUGUUAUAUUCAAUUAACAACAUUCUGUGAGCAGAAAAAUACUGAUUGGCCCUACAUUACAACAAUUGCAAGCACAAAGAUACCAAGAAGCCUAGAGGCUAUAAGGAUCUGGAUGGGAAGGAAUUGGCUUUGACUCAACUCUGGCAAGAUGGAACAGCUCUGAGUUUUCAGUCCCCUGGGUCCAGAUGAUAUUUUAUCUUUAGCUCUGGAUGGGGUGUCACUCCCCCAAUUGAAACUGAUGUGCAAUUUAUCAAUCUUAAACUCAUAGCUCCUGCUUAAGGAUCAGAUGGCAAUCUGUGAUGGAACAUGCACUUGCAGGAGCAGUAAAGGUAGUUUUGAUGACACAGAGUUUUCCUAGAGAGAGCCCAGAAUAAGAGACUGUGAUGUUCAGAGUUGUAUGUGGUUCAUGGCUCAAUGUAGCAUGUGAAUCAAGACACCACUACAAAUUAACCUUACUGUUGCAUCUACAGGUGACAUUAUAAAUGACUCAAAAUGUAAACAGUUGAAUCUAUGGGAUUCCAAAGACUACUGCACACAAUCAUUUUUCAAUAUGGGAAUGUCAUCUGCCACAUCUCCUUUAAGUUUCAUGUUCAUAGUUCAUCUAUCUUGGAAUUUCCUAUGGAUUAUAAAAAUAUAGCAAACAGGAUUUGGUUUCGGAUAACUGAAGAAUUACAAGAAUUGAUCAGCAAUAAUUCACUAAAAAACAUUCAUGCCUCAUUUGUCUUCAUGAAACCCUCAGAAACAACAGUAGAAUGAGAUUGAGUGACUACUACAAGAUCAUCUACAACUGGGGUGUCAAACUCACAAUGUCAUGUGAUGUGCCGCAACAUAUCGCAACUUUUUUUCCAUUGCUGGCAAUGAAUUAUCUACAAUUCAUUUUAUAUAGACCUCUACUUUAAAAACAAGAAAAAGUGGUUUCAGGGAAUAUGCAACAGAAACCCUUAAUAGGAAUACAGUUAGAAGACAUAAUUAUGUACACUGACUGAAGGUCUUUGCAUCCAUUUAUCCAAGAAACCUGAAGAUCCUAGCUGACUAGUUUUCAAAGUUGAUUUGAUCACACUUUAACAGUUAGUUUUACUGUACACUUUACAGUUAAUGGAACAAAUUUGGUUCGUGACAUUAUCCUUUUUCCUCUGCAAAAAUAUGUAAGUUAUCAAUAUCAUUUUUAAUAUUUUAUGCUAGUAACAUCAACUGUAAUUAACGUUAAUUGGCUUAGUCAUACAUGACUUUUUUAAUCCAUGGUUUAAAAUUUGCUUGUUUCAGUGACAUUAAAGCUCAGUUAAGACUAGUUGUAAUUUUUCAUUGUUUCAUCGACCCAGGAGGUGGCAAAGAUACGUUAAAUCAACAUCUAUCUCUAGUCUUUUCACUUCUUGUACUUGCAAUGACUUUACAUCCUGAAUCCUUACGAAGGAUGAAUUUACUUGAAGAUGAAAACAAACGUUCUUUAUUUUUUCUUUAUGGCUACAGUACAUCAUAAAGGAAUGAUGGCAGAGAAGCACAGAAGAAAAUAGCAAAUAUCAAUAGCCCUAUAAGUAUCUCCAGAACAGUUACAACCAAAAUUGGCUUUCACAUAGCUUUUCAUCUUAAUUUAAAAUGUGGUUGGCAGCAUAUUUUAAAAAGAUUUUUAUAACUACAUUAUAUUUUGCUUUAAUGUAAUAUAAUAUAUAACUGUACAGGAUGGUUUACACAUUUAAAUAAAUACAUUCAACAUAACAUUGGUUAUAAGGUAAAUGGAGUUUUUAUUAGCACUAGCAAACCUCUGGAGAAGCAAAAAGCCUGAACAAAUAACUAAUUGGUAGUCUGGGAAUAUUUUUUUAAACUGUUAUUGGUGAUGAACAAAAUCCAAGGUAAUUUAAAACAUGCAAUCACAGCUAAAUCUAAAUUGGUAUAAAUGUGCAUCUUAGGCAUGGCAUUAGUUUCAUUCAAUGGCAUUAACAUCAGAAUAUAUUUAUUAGGGAAGAAUAUAUCUGCUCUGUGUGUCACAGUAAUAUCUUAUUGGAAGAUAAAUAACAUUAAAGUAUCUCAAGCAAUUUGAUCUCUACAUCAGUUUUCUAACUGAAUGAAUUAUGUAUAUAUAAGGAAUAAAAAGACAUCAAUUUUUGAGACCCCAAAUGUUGAUAUCAUAGAUUAUGAUGCCUGAAUAAUGGAAUUAAUAAUAUGUUAUCAACAGUAGAUUCUUACUGCCUGUACGUCUUCUGCAAACACUUUUCUCUUCUGCAAAAGAGAAAU